rnacentral:rRNA from 1 species
UACGUAGGGGGCAAGCGUUAUCCGGAUUUACUGGGUGUAAAGGGAGCGUAGACGGCAGUGCAAGCCUGAAGUGAAAGGCAAGGGCUCAACCCUUGGACUGCUUUGGAAACUGUGCUGCUGGAGUGUCGGAGAGGCAAGUGGAAUUCCUAGUGUAGCGGUGAAAUGCGUAGAUAUUAGGAGGAACACCAGUGGCGAAGGCGGCUUGCUGGACGAUGACUGACGUUGAGGCUCGAAAGCGUGGGGAGCAAACAGG